UCAAAUCUUAUUAACAUCCGGAAAUGUAAUAUAUAUACAUGUCCUAACAGAGCAACUAAAAAUGAAUAUCUAUUCUAGCCACUUUACAAUUAACUAACCACUUUACAAUACACUAAUCAUUUUACAUAAUUAACCAAUAAUCUCAAUAGAAAUUGGUUUUGAAAAAUCGAUUGAUUUCCGACUGACAUUAAUCCAUCCAAAUAAGGCUGGUUGCUAACGAGUAGUGACUGAAAUCGGCCACAAAUUCCCCUGGUAGUUGCUUUAUUCAACAAAAAAUUAACCAAAUUAACUAACUCAUAUUCUAAAAAAAACUAAAGAUACCGACUGAAAGAUGUCGGUAUAUUGGAAAAUAAUUAUGAUUUAUUUUUUAAUUUAGCGAUAUAUUAAUUUUACAUCUUAUUUGAAAAUGUAACUACAUACCGAAAUCGGUCGAUAAAUUUUUAAUCCUGGAAAAUUUAACGUUGGAGGUACCGACCGAUCUCGGUUUGUAAUUUUAAAUUUUUGUGAUUUUAAUCUUAAAAUUGCUAAACGAUUUCGAUCGGUACGCGGUCCAGAAUACAGCUGAUUUAAAGCUACAAUACUAUCAAUAAGAAUAUGUAAUGGCAGCAACACUAUAUUGCUGCCAUUCAACCACAACCAAUAACAACAAAAAUAACAAAAUAAUUCAAUAAUAACACAAUUGAAUAACAAAACAAUAUCAACAACAUUUAUAGUGUUGCAACAGUUUCAACAAACUAUUCACAAGUUCAAGAGAGAGUGUUUUCAAUAGCAUGUGUCUAACCAAUAUGUUUGAAUUCUUUCACCUAUAUGGUUUAUCCAUUAUCUUUCUACUUUUCAAUUGAACCUGAUACCAUAUGGUUUGUUUAAAAAAAUAAAAUAAAAAAUAAAGUGCUUGGUUCAGGACUUAGGCCUUAUUUGUUUUUUUUAUUAAGAUUAAGACGUCUGAAUCUGAAGACACAUAUGAAUGUAUUAAGAUCUGAACAAAAAUAAUUAAGACAGUUUGAUUUUUAACAUAUGAAUAUAUAAAAUUUAUCUUUAUUUAAAAAUUAAUAAACAUAAAAUUCAAAUAAAAUACUAACUAAUAUAAUAUUAUAUCAAAAAUAUAUAGUUUAUUAAAAUAUGAUAGUUGUUGGUGGUGAUGGCUAACGAAUGAACGCCGACUAGAGGUGGCGGUUGGUGGUAGUUUUGGUUGAUGAUGGUGGUUCAUGCUAGGAGCUAGUAGUGAUAUAUAAUGGUGGCGAUUAUGAUUAAGAAUGGUGGUGAUGGGUGGUUAUAGUUAAUAAUGGUGGGUGGUGGCAGUAGUUGUGACAGAGGAAUAUGGUGGAUAUGUGGUGAUAAGUUAUAAUGAUGGGUAGUGGUGGCUGUGGUUGUUGAUGGUGAGAGGGUGGUCAGUUGUGGUAGUUGAGAUGAAUGUUGAUUGUGGGUGAGAAUGAUAAUGGUCUGAGUAAUAUGGAUACUAAAAGUUGAUGGUCGAUAAUGGCGACAACUAUAAAUGAGGAUGAUGGUGGCGUGGUGGUGGUGGAAGUGAUGGUGGUAGUGAGGGGUGGGGUGGCGGUGGUGGUUGAGUAUGGUGGUGAUGGCGACAUGGUGGUAGUUGAUAAUGGUAGGCGGCAGUGACAGACCUAGAAUUUUGUGCAAGUGGGUUCAGUCGGAGAAGUCCAUAACUAAUAUAAGCGUAUAAGCCGUAUAAGCGGGUUCAAAAAUAAUUUUUAUACAAAAUUUACCUUGCUUUAGCAUAAUUUAUGCAUAUAUACAGUAUUAUUUUUUGACGAAGCGAGUUCAGUUGGACCCACUUCUCACCACUUGGGUCCGCCCCUGGUAGGCGAUAAUGGCAGUUAAUAAUGAAUAUGUAUUAGCAUCUUAAUGAAAUUAAAUCUAUGUAAUGGAUCUUAAUCAUACAAACCUAUUCUGUGAUGAUUCAAACGUUCAUCACCGUAAUUCUCCCUUUCUUUGCGUUUCCGAAGCUUUGAAAACCUCUUAUUCAGUCGCUUCAAUUUACGUGCGCACUCCGAGCGUGAAGCCGGAAAAAUAUUAUGUGAAAAUAUAUGAAUUUUGUGUUAAAAACUAUGAAUUUUGAUAAUAAUAUUGAUAUAGUUGUAUUUGGUCAACAUUUUGGGUAAACGAACCCGGACCCGUGAUGUGAUGGUCCCGAAGGGUCUGUAGAAAAAUAUGAGACCCGGGCGUAUUUCUCGAAUCAAAAUCCGAGGUCCCAAGCCCAAGUACGGAAUUUUUUAAAGAAAUUGUUUAUCUGAAAAUGAUAUGAAAAACUGAAAUGAAAAUGAGUUAGAAAGUGAUGGUAUCAGGCUCGUAUUUUGGUUGUGAUGCCCGGUACAUGUCUUAAAUGAGCGUUAAACGCUAUUUGUAAAGAUUGGUCGAAAAUGGACAUAAUUUGACGUGUUUCGGACUUGAAAAUGAGAAAUAAUAGUUUUAUGGAAAGAUAGAAGAAGUCAUGUGUUUUGAGGUUUGAUUCUAAGUAAAUGAUGUAAUUUUGGCGAUUGAUUGCAUGAGUAUAUCCGUAGGAUAUUUUUGAGGCCGUGUGCACGUUUGGUUUGGAGUCCUAAGGGCUCGGGAGAGUUUUGGAUGUACAUUGGGUUGCAUUUUAGCCUUAGGAAAAAUCUGUUGUUUCUGUUGCUGAUCAUCGCAAAUACGAAGAUAUGACUCGCAAUUGCGAGAUUUCCCCCUGGGCUUCUCACUUCGCAAAUGCGAAGAAAAUCCUCGCUAAUGCGAUGCCCUUCCUUUUAGCCCAGUCUUCGCAAACGCGAUCCCUCACCAAAAUCCCUGAGUUCGCAAAUGCGAACAUCAUCUUCGCAAUUGCGAAGUUUGCUUUCCAUGUCUGAGUUCGCAGAUGCGAACUAAAUUCUCCCAUUUCCCAUGUCUGAUGGGUUCGCAUUUGCGAAUCCAGUCUUACGAAUGCGAGAUCUGCACCAGUGCAUUUUUAUACUAGGACGAUUUUAAGCCUCAUUCUUCAUAUUUUCAAAACCCAAACUUUUAUUGACGAUUUUCUCUCAACCCUUUCUUCCCCAAAUCAAUUGUAUGCCAACUUUUACUCAAUUUCUUCAAUGUUUGACAUCUUAUAUCAUGAUUUCAUCUUAAAAUCAAAGCUUUCAACGCGUAAAAAUGGGGAUUUGGGGUAGAACCUAUGUUUUCGUCAAAUUUGGGGGUUCGGACCUCAAUUUGAGGUCCGAUUUCAAAACAAAUCAUAGAUAUGAACUCGUGGGUGAAUAGAUAAUCCGGUUUUUUUCGAACCUCGGGUUUUGACCACGUGGGCCAGGGGGCUUUUUAGGAAUUUUUGGGUAAAAAUUUGAAAAAUUUAUUCUUAUGCAUUCAAAUUGAUUUACCUAGCAUUGUUGAUACAUUUGGGUAAUUCGUGACUAGAUUCGAGCGGUUUUGUUGCGAAUUCGAGGGGUAAAGCCAUCCUAGAGGCGUGAGUUGAGUUUGGAGCUUUCGAGGUAAGUGUUUGUUCUAACUUUGGCUUGAGGAAAUAGGAUUGUGAUUAGAUUCGACCAGUUUUGAGGCGAAUUCGAGGGGUAAAGCCAUCCUAGAGGCGUGAGUUGAGUUUGGAGCUUUCGAGGUAAGUGUUUGUUCUAACUUUGGCUUGAGGGAAUAGGAUUAGGACAAUAAGUACUAUGUGCUAUGUGGAGUCGGUGUAUAUAUAUGGUGACGGUUACCUAUACGCCCAAGUCUAGCAUGACCGUAAGUCGUAGUUGCUUUUAAAUUCGACAUAUGUGAAACAAUUGAGUUAAUUACUUGUUAAAUAAAUUAUGAAGUGCUAGUUGAGGAGAAAAUGAGUUAAAAAAGGAAGUGUGGUAUUUUUUCAUUGCUGGAGCUUAUUGUUGAUGUUUCUCCCUUGCCGAGAUGUUUAAUCUUGUUGUAUAUUCCCUUCCCCGAUUGGGUGUCGUUGUUCAUUGGGUGAGGGAGAGAAAGAUUACGAACGAAGGGUCUUUCCAUGCCAUAUUUUUGAUAAUUCUGCACGAAGGGUCUUUCCGUGCUAUGUUUUUAAUAAUUCUGCACGAAUGGUCUUUCCGUGCCAUGUUUUUGAUAAUUCUGCACGAAGGGUCUUUCCGUGCCAUGUUUUGAUGAUUAUGCACGAAGGAUCUUUCUGUGCCAUGAUGAUUGAUUAUUGGAGCAGCACGAAGGGUCUUUCCCUGCAUUGAUGUGAGUGUUAUAUGAGGAAAAGCACGAAUGGUGAUGCUAUGAAUUUAUAUUUGAUAGUUUGGUGAGAAUUGAGAGUAAAAGCACGAAGGUUGGUUCCGUGCAGUUGUUGAUUUACUUGCUCUUUUUCAUUGAUGUUAACUAUUUAAUUUCCAUCUCUCUGUUCGUGGUCUCAUAGCUAAAUUGUUACAACCCCAGCAUGUCCCCUCCCUAUUAUCUGUUUUGAAUUUUUGUAUAUCUUUCCGUUGUUGCACAUAUAUCUGUUCAGGUUAAUUGUGGUAGGUCCGGUAUAGCCUCGUCAUAUCUCGCCAGGGUUAGGCCAGGCACUUACAGCACAUGGGGUCGGUUGUGCUGAUGCUACACUUCUGUGCCUUUUGUGCACAGGUCAGGAGACAGCUUACGGACCGCAACAGUAGAUUGGGAGCGAGCCUUCAUUCCAGAGACUCCUAGGUAGUUCGUUGGCGUGCGCGGGCCCUGAGUCUCUUCUAUUUCAUUUCUGUUUGCUUUCAUUGUAGCGAAACAGACUCCUUAUAUAUUUUCUUUCAAACUCUUAUUUGUAGUAUUUUAUAGUAGUCCGUGAGUACGUGAAACUAAAUCUUGGGUAGAGGAUGAUGUUAACUUUUUCCGCAUUUCUUUUAUUUAAUGUUAAAUUAAGACUUCUGCUUUUAUUAUUUUUAUUAUUAUCUUGUUGGAAAUUAGUUGAAAAGGGUAUGUUUAAGUUGGCUUGCCUAGUUCCGACAAUAGGCGCCAUCACAACUUCCGAUGGUGGGAAAUUCGGUCGUAAUAUAUUUAGACCCAUUAAAUAGUUGUGAAGUAAAAAACAAACACACUUAUUGAUUAAAAUCUGAAUAAUUAAAAUUUAAACUUUAAAAACAAACACAUUUAAUAUCUGAGAUCUAUAUGAUUAAGAUUCAUAUAUAUAUUAAGUGCAAACAAACAAGGCCUUAGAGUUUAAAACAUGAUCGGGGUUCUAUCUGUAUAGUUUGGAGCAAACGCAAAUUACUUGGCAAAAGCAAUACAGCAAAGGGUGCAAAUUGCCACCACUCCAACUCAUCGACAACUCUUGAUUUCUUUUUCACUUAGUACAAUUGGCUAAUCAUUUGUGGCAAUUAUCAUGAGAAUAAACCACUUGGUACCUAGCCAGCUCACCCACUUCACUCAAAAGAAGGAAAAAACACAUACAAUAGUUGGUAUUACUCUUUAUAAUAUGAUCUAUCUCAAUUUACAAACAAUGAUAUACUCAAUAUUUAAAUAAGAGGGGUUGCUCUGAUGGUAAGUAACUCCCACUUUCAACCGAGAGGUUGUGAGUUCGAGUCUCCCCAAGAUCAAGGUGGGAAGUUCUUGGAGGGAAGAAUGCCGGGGGUCAAUUUGGAAACAGCCUCUCUACCCCAAGGUAGAGAUAAGGUCUGUGUACACAGUACCUUACCCAGACCUCACUAAGUGAGAUUAUACUGAGUUGUUGUUGUUGAUAUACUCAAUAUUUAGGUGAAAGUGAUUUCUUUGUCGUUUUCACCUCAAUUCCUUCGUAUAAUUAACAUAGUACAAUACUUGGUUUUUAACUUAAUUACUUCAAAUGUGAUUACACCCUUAUAUUAUUAACCCAGAUAUAUUAAACCCUUUAAAUUCCACUUUUUCAAAUAAACUAGAAGAUAUCACAAAUAGCAGAUGUUUUACCAAUUGAGUUUCUCGUUCAACUCCAAUACUGAAAGGGUUACUUCCUCCGAAAGAUACAACAAAAAAGCAAAGCUAAUUGCGUGAGCUCUGAAUUAGCAAAGAGUAGUAUACGGCAUAUUUACGCCGCCUCUUCAUACACCAGGUAUACACUUCACUAAGAUUGGAAUACAGUAUAAGGAAGGUACAAGUAAUAAUCCUUCUGCCCUUCUCAACUCAAUUCCUUUACACAAUUGUAUUCCCUCCUUGCCAUUCACUUUUUUCAAUUUUCUCCCUAAUUUCCUUUUUUCUAUUCAGGUCACUCCGCAUUUUUUUUCACUAAGCGAAGUACGUAAUUCUAAGACAUUAAUUAAGUUAAUAGAUGUGUAAUACUAUAUAUCCAUCCGAUUUUGAGUGGAUUACUUAAAUGGUCUCUCAACUAUCCGAAAGUAUCUACUAAAAUCAUCUUUUUUUAUUUGUAACAGCAAAGUCACUUAGCUAUACAUAUAACACACAUAUAAAGGCACUCAACUAGAUCUCUCAAACUUUGAUGCCAAAUACCAAUUUUAGCAAAGUCACUUAAAGAAUUCCAUAAUGUAGACUAUAAAAAGAAAAAAAUAUAAUAUUUUUUUUAAAAAAAGAAGAAGAUUAAUGUUGAUAAUUUAGAGGGUAAAAUAUGUAUUUGACAAUCAAAAUUUUGAGAAAUUUGGGGGUGACCUUCUGGUAUUGUAGACAUAGUUAAAGGACUUUCUUGUUACAAACGAAAGAAAGAUUAAUGUUUAGCUCAAAAAUUAUUCGUAUUUUAUAAGCCUAAAAACAACCAAAUAUAUAUAGGGGUAAAACCUAAUCAAAUAUAAUAAGUCCAAGAGACGAUUAUCACUUCGAGUGUUUUCAUAGAUCUGUAAAUGGAUGAUAAAAUAGACUUAGCUUCAGAAGGAAGCAAUCGUUAUGAACGAGAGAGAGAGAGAGAGAGAGAGAGAGAGAGAGAGAAUAGAGACAGAAAUAGAGAUUGUAUUAUUAGAGAAUAAUGAUGAUGCCCUUUUUCAAAGGGAAGGUUUCCUUUAUAUAGUAGGAAACCUUCCUCGACCCAAUAAAAAAAGGUACAAAGGUUGGUGGCUUCCACUCAGUUAAAGGGUCAGGUACUAAACGACGUCGUUCCUUCUUUGCCGAAUUGUGCCGCACCCUUGCUUGGGUCGCCCUUAUCAUGGGGGACGUGCCUACUUGGUGUGGGGAUAUUAUGAGCCAAAUUUAGCCCUAUACACUUAGUCCCUCUGUUCGUUACCCGAUGAUCAUCUUCAAUGGACGGACAUGUACGAUUCGCUUUUUACAGGUUCUUCAUUGCUGCUAGUGUCUCAUCUUCCUCUAAUCCAUAUAUGAUAUCAGCUGGCUGAAAGGUCUUCUCCAACUGAGGUAGAGGGUGCUCCAGUGGGUAGUAGGGACCGCCAUUGUGGCGACCAGUGGUUGAACUCUUCCCAAGUAUAUUCAUAACCCAGGCCAAAAGUAGUACCAUGCUUCUUUAACUUGAUAGGCUCGGUGAUGCCCUAGAGAUUUUUUCCAAGUCCUUUUCCGGGCUCAUACCCGCUCCAAUAUAGAAUGCUCGCAAUUUUUUUAUCCCACCAUUUGUCUUUGUCUAUGGUGUUGACUUGUUCGAUCUGAUGAUAUGUUUCUCCGCCUAUUCUCCUUCUACCUCUGAUUAUCGGGAUGGCCUGGCUACUGUAUAUAGGGUUGCUACCGUCGCCAUAAAUAUUACUUUUUGAUGAUUCCAUUCAAAUUUUACACCUCGACGCAAAGUUGAUGCCACAGCCCCAGCGGUGUGGAUCCAGGGUCGUCCCAACAACCAAUUGUAGGAUGCUUGCACGUUAAUGACUUGGAACCUAACAUCGAACCAGGUGGGUCCCAUCUUUAGGCAUAGGCUAAUUUCUCCAAUCGUGGACCUCUAAGAUCCAUCAAAAUCUUUGACAUUGAUAGCCCCGUCUAUGGUCUCGUGCAAUCCUUUACCCAAUGUCCUGAGAGUUAUCAAUGGACAAAUGUUGAGGCUGGAUCCCCCGUCGACUAAAAUCCUGGUGAUAAAGUGAUCCUCGCAUUGCGCAGUAAUGUGCAAUGCUUUCUUGUGACCAAGCCCUUUUGGUGGUAACUCGUCCUUGUGGAAGGUGAUCUUCUGGCUUUCCAGUACCUGCCCCACCAUGUUGGCCAUUUCUCCUCCUGUUAUGCUGCUGGGAACAUAAGCUUCACUCAGUAUUUUCAUCAAGAAAUUUUUAUGUGCUUCAGAGCUUUGUAGAAGAGCCAGAAUAGAAAUCUAUUUUGGCGUUUUGUUCAGUUGCUCGACGAUUGAGUACUCUUUGGCUUGUACCUUCCUCCAAAGAUCAUCGGGUCUAAUUUCAACAGUCCGCCCGGAGGCUUGCUUGCUAGACUCAGCCAAAUGUUCCGGGGUGUAUACCCUGCGUGUCCUAGUCAUGCCAUGUGCGGCAAUUGCUUCCCCGGUAUACGUCUUUCCCUUCCUUCUAGCCUCAGCGGUGUAAUCCCAAGGUAUAGCAUUUGUCUUGAACGGGGUCAUGUCUGUCAUGGAGACUGGAAUCGGUACCCUGGGAGGUAUCACAAUAACUUCAAGCGGUGCAGGCGCCUUGGGAACCCCGAACUCAACCUCAAUUAGUUUUGGCGCCUUUGUAGAAGGUCCUUCAAACUCAAGCGGUAUAGACACAUUUACCAUAUUGCCCUCAGAGGGAUGAAUCAGAACAACAAUGGGAUUGAGGGUAACUGGUGGCUUCUUAGGUUCAUCUCCUUCAACUAUCAAACCGAUUGACCCCUUGGGGUCCCAAUCUUCUUCAAUCUCGAUCAUAUAGAUGCCUCCACCCUUGUGGUCAGGCAGAGGGUUGUUGCAAACAUUAGGAGCGGGCUCAUUUGCUAUAAUGAUCUUAUUGUGAAUAAGAUUCUGAAUCUUGUCUUUCAACGAGCGACACGCGACGAUGGUAUGGUCCUUCAUCCCAGAAUGGUAUGCGCAAUUCUUGUUUGGGUUGAUCCAUUGGGAAGGAUUUUCUGGAGUUACGGUUGGGAUAUGGGUAACGUAACCAGCUGCUUUGAGUUUUUCAUAUAGUUGGUCGAUUGGUUCGGCUAUGGCGGUAUAUUGCCUGGGAGGCUUACGGUUGAAGUUUGGUGAGGGUCGAGAAAAGUUUUGACGGAUAGGUGGUGAUGGGUAGUGAGAAGGUUGAGAGUUGUAUGCUUGAUAUACAGGUGCUGGUUUGGAAUAUCUAGGUGAGGUAGGUUGAUAUGUGGGUGGUGGAGGUGAUUGCUAGAUGGGUGGUGGAAUUUGGUAUGUGGGUGGUGGUGCUUGGUAAUUUAGGGAAGGUUGAUAUGUGAGUGGAGUUGAGGGGCAGGUUUGGUAUUUCAUAGGGGAAUUGUUCCAUUGUGCAGCCAUCACAGAAUUUACAUCCUUUUUCUUCGACGAGCCUCCAGACUGUAUAGCCUUGUUGGUAGCUUGCAAUGCCUUGAGGUUAGUGAUCAUACCUUUUUUGAUGCCUUCUUCAAUCCUUUCUCCCAACUUGAUGAUGUCGGAGAACUUUUGGCCCUCUAUUAGCAUCAGUCUCUCAUAGUACUGCGGAUCUUAAGCACGGAUCAAGAACCUGUUCAUUUGUUCUUCCUCCAAGGUUGGUCUGACCUUAGCAGCUUCUGACCUCCAACGAGUAGCAUUCUCGCGAAAGGUCUCUGUGGGCUUCUUCUUGAGAUUCUGGAUAUAGAACACAUCUGGUGCAUUCUCAGUGUUGAACCUAAAUCGGUCCAUAAAGUUAGACGCAAUGUUCACCUAACUAGUCCAUUUCUUUGCAUCCUGGCUAAUAUACCAUGAUAAAGCAUCACCCUUCAAACUCCUCAUGAACAGCUUCACGCGGAUUUUCUCGUUCCCUUCCGAAUCCUACCAACAUGUCACAACACAUUCUUAAGUGGACCCUGGGAUCACCUGUACCAUUGAACAUCUCAAACUUGGGAGGUUUGUACCCCUUCGGGAGCUCAACAUCUGGCUGAACACAGAGAUCUUCGUAAUUCAACCCUUCGACACUUUUGUUACCUUCGAAACCUUGAACCCGGCUGGUCAAUUUCUUGAUCUCAGUGGCCAAAUUCUGAAUGAGGGAGCCAUUGUCAUCUGAUUCAGGUGCACUUGUGAUAUGCUGACUGUAGUGGGGUAUAGUGUCCAUAAAGAUAGGAGUGACAUUGUCUUUUGUGGUGUUUUGUGGUUCUGGAAUGAGUACUGGAGUGUUAUGAGAGGGUUGCAUUGGAGCUUGUGGGGUGUUUUGUGGUGGUGUAGGGUUCUGGGUGUUAACAUCAGGAGCGGCAAGAGUGAUUGACAGGCUUCCCAGGUUUCUAACUUGGUCCAAUUCCUCUCGAAAUCUUAGCAAAGUUUGCUCCAGAUGAGCAGNNNNNNNNNNNNNNNNNNNNNNNNNNNNNNNNNNNNNNNNNNNNNNNAUCUUCCUUAGCAAAGUUUGCUCCAGAUGAGCAGCAGUCUCCUUGGUAAUUGCAGCAUUCUGAGAAGUUUCCUCAAGUUCCUUUCUAACGCUUGUAUCUCCCAUUUUGCCUUUUUCCUGUUUGUGGUAGGACUUGGAGGAGGGGGAGGUGGAGGACCCUUGGAUCUUGUUGAGUAUGUUGAUAGUGCCAGAAUGCAAGAACUAAACUUAGGGGAUGGGAAUAAAAAACAAAACAAAAGGUAACAAGUUAGUGUGGAUUUCUGAUAAAUAAUAUUGCGAUAUUUAAACACAUUAUGCGGGAAUAUAAAUUUCUUCCUAAUUUGGGUGUCUCGUUGUGCCCGAAGUAGGCCUAGCGACAAAUUAAAUUUGAAGAACUUAUAAUGCUAAAUGCCUUAUUUUAUUGAUAGAAACAAGAAAACUGAAUUAUAAAGACGUCGCUAAUGAUCAGUGGCCUUAUUACAUUAAGAAAGCAGAAAAAUAAAAAUCCUAACUACUUGGUCCCAGAAGGACCUUCCCUAGAUUCGGUACUCUUGCCUCCCUCGUACAGCAGCAUCAACUCCCUCAUUCGUAACAGCAGAUAAGCUCAAGCCAGAUGUGGAUUCGGUACUCUUGCAUCCCUCGUACAGCUGCAUCGACUCGCGCAUUCCUAACAGCAGAUAGGCUCGGGCCAGAUGUCCGCCUGUAUUCCUUCAGCAUUCUGACAGUCUUCAAUUCUUUUCAGGAACUUCCCUUCUAAUUCCGCUAUACCUCGCUCCAAAUAUCCCAAAUGGUUAUUGGCGUUGACAACCAUAUCCUUCCACUCGUUGAUCAGCUUUUUGUGGGCUUCCUGUAUUUCGCGAUGUUCAUUCUUACAUUUUAGUGUCCUCAUGCACAGUUGAUUGUAUGUAACUUGCACUUCAGUUUUCUCAUCAAUAAUCCUAUGACCAUGGACGAAUCUUGGGCGACCCAAACCAAUGUGAUCAUCUUCUAACCAACCUGUGCAGUGUGGCACACACUCGGCAUGAUACAUGUCUGGUUCAAUAGACACUUCCCCUAAGACGAGCUUGCAGUGCAACAUAUGCUGAGCGUGACACCUGUGUGGGCUAUCAUCAUCUUGAAAGUCAGCCCUGAAAUGACNNNNNNNNNNNNNNNNNNNNNNNNNNNNNNNNNNNNNNNNNNNNNNNNNNNNNNNNNNNNNNNNNNNNNNNNNNNNNNNNNNNNNNNNNNNNNNNNNNNNNNNNNNNNNNNNNNNNNNNNNNNNNUCUGUGUAUGAUAUGUUUUCUUCCAGCUUGCCUCAUGGCCCAGAGAGGGACAUAAGGAUGAGUUCCCCCUAGACCAAUAAGUAUGAGGAAUGGUGCGUCUCGAGAACGGACAAUGAACUCCCCUAUUGGGAACCACUCGAACAUCCACUGAACUUGCUCUUCCUUUAGAUUUUCAAGCAAUUAUACCCAUCCACUGGCGUAUUCAUGAAGUUCAUUUGCUUUGGAUGAUGAAAAGCGAUAUGGUCAUCCCAAUCCUUGCGGAUAAUUUCCUUUUUGUAGUCGCUUUUCAAAAGGUUUUCUAUGAGCAAAAGUUGAAGUAGCAGAUUACAACCCUCGAAUUAUGAAGCCCCUUGCUGACACUUUCCAAGGCUCGAUAAAUUUCCAUGACGAUCAUAGGCACUAUGCUGAAAGAUUGCCCGUCUAUUCCUUCCAUGAAGGUCUUGGUCACCAUGGCUAGUCUAUUGUGGAUCCUAGCCUUCUUCUUAGGGAAAAUUGUCAUGCCCAAGAAGCAAAACAUGAACACAAAGGCCCUUUUAUGUAUAUGUCCCAAAGAAGUGAGAGCGAAUUCUUCCAUGUAUGUGCGAUAGGACUUGCUGUGGCCAUAUUUCUCGUAAAGGAAGUCAUGGUAUGUAGGAGUCCUUCAAGCAAGAGAGGUCGGGAUUUUUCUCGAGUCCCAUUAUCUUAAGAAAUCCUCUGCUUUUGCAGUUUUCUGGCAUAAGCAAACCCGGAGUCUCCCAAGGGAUACCAUCUAGGCCCCCUAUCUCUUCUAGCAAAGGGGUCAUUUCCAAGUCUCCAAAGUGAAACACUGAUCGAUCGCUAUCCCAAAACAAAAUGACAGCCUCUAUGAUCUUAUUGUUGGGCUGAAUUUCCAGAAGUGAGGGAAAAUUCCCUAAGUAAUUGCGGACGAGGGUUUGAUUGUUGCCAUGAAGAUCUUCUCACCAGCUUAUCAACCUUGGGUGAAUGUUGGAUCCCAUACCGUAUCUGGGGACCUCGUGCCUCAUUUUAUGCAAAACAAAGCUUUAGUCCCUUAACCCCACCAGACUCGACUGUUUAAAUCAACAAUUAGCAUAAGGUCAUUUAGUUCUCCAAAUAAAUGCACAAAUGUUGAGGUGUCUAUUUGGGAUUCGAGGGAACCCGGUGGACUUUGGUUUAGGCUAUCUUAAGGAGUCAUUAUGUGGACAACAUAACUGAUUCGGCUAGGGAUGACCAUGACGCAUGAACAGUUUAAUGGAAUAAGGUUUCUACUUUUUUUAAGUGCUAGACAAGGUACCCUUGAGCGGACAACUCAAGAGGGAAAGGCACGGAACCGUCNNNNNNNNNNNNNNNNNNNNNNNNNNNNNNNNNNNNNNNNNNNNNNNNNNNNNNNNNNNNNNNNNNNNNNNNNNNNNNNNNNNNNUACUACACCGUUGAUCGACUGGUUUUACCACAAAUAUGCCUUUGCCACAUUUAGGGGGUUAUAAUAUCGGAAGCGCGUAACCGCUCAUUAUAAGUAUUGCUAUGUGAUUUGGUUUAGCACGAGUGGAAUAUGAUGUUGAGGAAUGCAGUUACAAUAAUGAAGAAAGUUGCAUGUAUUUUCACGUUCAUAAAAAUAAGGAUUACAAUAAAUGCUCGAUAAUUACAACAUGGUAGAAAUAAUGAUGCGGUAAAGGAGGAAAUUAAAAGGAAAGAAAAACAUGAAGAGCCAAGUUAGUAGUUAUGAUGAAAUAACUAAAGAUAGGAAACAAAUGCAAUUAAGGAAACAAUAAAGUCUUAAAAGCAAGUAAUGAGAAAAGCCUUAAAGAAAAUCCCCAACAGAGUCGCCAUGCUGUCGACGCCCCUUUUUCUGAGGAGAAAUCGGGUUUACAACAUUAUGGGGGGAAUGACUCUUCUAUCCCCCUUUUGGGAAAUUUGGGUUAUGGAGUUUGGAGAGUCGCCACCUAAUGAUUAUAGUGCAUUAGGAAACUUUUAGAAACAAAAAGAAAGAUUUGAAAGAAAAUGAGAGUUCUGAUAAGGGCUUGAGAUUAUCUCGAGGGGAAGGUUUUAGGCACCCCUCAAGAUCCACUAGUGUGGUUCCCCGCCUUGAUUAAUUAUGACUUUAAGAAGAGUAGGAGAAGACAAGCAAAGUUUGCACAUAAGGAAUAUAAACAAGUUGACAUUUUUGAAAGAAGAAAGGCGCAGGUGAAAAGUGUUGAUACCCAAUUUUUUUUUCACCCAAAGUACUGUUAAAAUAGUAUAUGUAUGCAUAUAUAAGCAUGCCUGGAAAUUUGGAUAUUUUUCCUUAAUUUUUACGAUUUCUAAAAUCACUUUACCGCCUAUUUUUGACAGUAUAACGGCCAAAAUUAUCUCCAAAUUAUUAUUUUUAGUGAAUAAUGUGCUUCACUUUCAUAUUUACAACAAGAUAUAAUUUAUUUAAUUUUUUCACAUUUUUUACAAAUUUAUUUGGAAAUUUUAAAGCAAAUUGCAUAAAAUUGCAGUUAUGGCCUACUUUUGCAAUUAACUAUGUUUCAUAGUUAUAAAUUAUUUCGAAUUUUUUUAGAUUAAUAUUUAUAUGUUAUUAAUUAGUUUUGUGCUUUCAAUUUUCCUUUUAAACUUUUUUGCUAUUUUAUAAAAUAAAUUAGAAAUAUUGGCUAUUUAAAAGUUAGCCAGAUUUUGUUUAAAUUAUGGCCUAAAGGCCUAAAUUGAGCUCCUAUGUCAGCCAAUUUUGGAACCCAAUUAUAUGACCCAAUUUGAAAAAUAACCCAACCCAAUACCCGACCCAACCUAAAUUUGAUCUGAGCCGUUGAUCAAACGAGAUCAACGGCCCAGAUUUAAUUUCCAUAAUUAAAAUCUAAUUACCCUUAUCCCUCACCCUCAUUUGCAAGAGACCGGUCUCUCUCUCUAACCCUUCGUCUUCUCCUUCUUUCUAGAAUCUUCUAAUUCUCUCUCUCUUCUCCGAUGGCCUUCAUCGUCGUUCGGUCACCUCCACCCUCACUUCUUUUGACCACCAGUCGUCAUGGAACCUUGUCUCGUUGCUUUAUCUCAGAGCCUUGAAGUCCUAGAGACUUCCACCAUGAAAGGCGGUCCCUGGAAACCUUGCUUGGCUUAUCUUCGGCCUUCUCUCUAGUGGUUUUUGCACGAUAAUACUCUAUAUGGCGCAAUUGAUAAGUUUCACGGCCAGGUUCUCAUUUCCCUAAUUUGUUUGCAAACCCUAAGUUUGCUCGAAUCUCUUUAAUCUAUGUUCUUUUAAAAAAUGAUGUUUAGUUUAAUCUUUGUUUUCUACUCUAUUUCUCACUUAGUAUCUCUGAUUAUUCAAAGUUUUCCGACAAUUUUUCUCUUUUUUCAAAACUAGGGUUACUGACCCUUUUCAAUGUCGCUAUAUCAUCUGCUUUUCUUGAGUAUUAUGUGGUUGUUUGUGCUUGUUUGUGUUACGAGUAUGUUUUUCCUUGUUAAUCCGAGUUCUAUGCUUUAAUUCCUUGCUAGGGUUUCGACCUUUUAAUGCUUCCAUGCUUUCUUGCCUAGGGUUCACUGAUUUUCAUAUCUAUUGUGCUUUAUAGGUCCAAUUGUUCAUCGUUCAUGCAAUAUUCUACUGAUUCUGUGUAUCUCUUUGAAUCUCUUAUUUGUAUGAGUUUUCCUUAAAGGUUCUUACACCGAUUUUGAAUUAUUUCCUUACUUGUGAGAUUCUCUCUAUACUUAGUUUUGUCUGUGAUUCUUUGACUAACUUUCAGAGCUAAUUGGUAUUUUCUUACCAUAUUUGUACAUGAACAGGCUUUAAAAUCUUUAGCAUAUAUUUUCCUUACUUACAUUAUUAUGUAUCUAACCCCUAUUGCAUAUUAUAUGCUUGCUACAUUCACUAAGGUAAACACAGCAAUUAAUUGAUUCGUUUCCUUUUUAAAAACCAAUGUUUGUUACCGUUUGUCUUUGGCUCCUUAGUUAAAGGGAAGUCCUGAUCCUAAUUGGAUUUUGAUUGACACUGAUACCUUAAUUAAUGAUUGUUGCCUUGUUUGUGUACUCGUUUCUAGUACUAUAAGUACCCUUCCCCAUUCUCUUUGAAAGACACCAACACACACGACAUACCUCUCACAAUUUCAAACUCUCUGAACUUUCUCUUUAAAAACACUCAGUGCUCUCUCUCUUUCUCUACUGUUUCUAUACUCUCUCAUUCUUCUAUUUAAACACUCAGUCGGUUGAAAGCCAAGAUUGAGUAAUCUUGGCUGUUUAUUUCUACACUACUGGGGUUCCACUGACUAUUUACUUGGAUUUGCAUGCUGCUCUCUUUUAUGCACACUAUUGUUCUCAUACUGCUACUCUUAUUCUCUGCACAUGUUGCUCUCUUUUUUGUGCACUAUUGCUCACUGCUAUUGUGUUCUAUUGCCUGCAACUGGUAUGUCACCUAUUUAAGAUAUUAGUUUCCAAAACAACUUGUUUCUAUUAGUUUUGCACUUCAUAUUGUUUCUUGUAUGCAUUUACUUAUGGUUUUGUUGCUCUUCUUGCCACUAGCAUGUAAUUAUUAGCCUGCCUAGUUUGACUUAGCAUAUUCCCUACCCCUUCCAUGUCUUAGUGUAUGUUUUCUUAUGUGCUACUAUCAUGUAUCCUGGUCUGCUUGGCUACUUGGUUAGCCUGAAACCUCUUCCUGAGGCUGAUUAUGCUGGAGUUUGGUGCAGUAAGAACUGAACUCCUAUUUGCAACCAUUGUCUGAUUACUUUUCUUUAAUGUGUUGUCUAUGUGUGAGUAGUCACUUGCUUAUUUGUUCCCUUCCCCUUUGCCCUUGUUUGUGUGAUGCUCUGGUCAGCUCUAAAUGAUUUCAAAGGAACUCUUUCAACGUGUUGUCUAUGUAUGAGUAUUCACUUGCUUAUUUGUUCCCUUCCCCUUUGCCCUUGCUUGUGUGAUGCUCUGGUCAGUUCUAAUUUAAUUCAAAGGAACUCUUUCAACUCUUUCAAUCAUUGUUUUCUCAAAGUGCCUCUCAAAUCUUUCUACUGCUUUCUUAAACUGAGUGUUUCAAACUCUCUCAAUCCUGUCACAAGUUCACUAUUCUUAGAACCUUAGGUUCUGCCCCCUUAGUUUAAGCAUUUCCUUGGGAGCCCUUGAGAACCCAUUGAACUUUGAUGCACAAGGCUGGCACUUCCACACUUGCACUUGUCUAAUAAGGAUACUUUGGUUGCCUGGUAUUGGCCAGGGGUUCAAACGAAUCCUCAGGGAACUUUGCCGCACCCAAGUCUCAAUGACAUUUUGGGUGCUUGGUAUUGGUCAGGGGUUCAAACGAAUCCUUAGGGAACUUUGCCACACCCAAGCCUUGGUAAUGGCUGUGAAACUCGGAAGGAGUGAGGUUGGAGAUGUUUGGCCUAGCUGAAGGCACUCUAUAGGGUAACUUCUUAUUUUCUUUUAUCGUUGUUGUAAUUUAAUUAUUUGGGCUAUAAUAAUUUGUAAAGAACAAUGGGGAUUACAGUGAAUUGGGAGGAUUAUGCAUGAUUAAUUAAGGGAAUGGGUAGAAAGCAUGUCUAUAGGCCUUUAUUUAUUCAUCUGCGCAAUAGAUACCAUGCUUUAGGACAUGUAUCUUUGCAUAAAGAAAUCAUGUUCUUACGUCAUUCAUUUUCAGUUUGUUAUUCUGCAUAUUCUCACAUCAUAAUUGAUCAAUAAUCAACAAGUCAUUAUCAUCACAUUUAGAGACCAUGUUUCUAAGACCUUUUGUGCAUUAGAUACCAUGCCUAGAGGAUUUUAUUUGCAACUGUUUAAGCACUUUAUUAAUCUAGAUUAAAACUGGUUGAUAACUCCUUGUUUAGGACUUCAUUUACAAUUGUUUAAGCACUUCGUUAAUCUGGAUUAAAACUGAUUAAUAACUCCUUGUUAAAAUUGGAAACAUUGAAUGCUCAUCAUUUUAGUAACGCCUAGGCAAGCCUUAGGCCGGAUAAAAACUGACUAAUUACCUUUAAGUUAUGUUCAAUCCGCCUCUGUCUGAGCUCAUUUGUCUCUGAAGCUUUCUGAUUUUUUUAUACAAACUUAUGCCCUAUUUUCAAACUAUCUAUGCAAAUGUUUCUACUGUAUUUUUUUAAAAAACUAUCUGAAUACUGUAUAUUCUAAAUUUUGAAAGCUGAUAAUAUUCAUCAUUUUUAUUACAUUGCUGCAAUCUCAAAAUACCUUCAUAUUUGUUCUUUACUCUGCCUGUUCGAAAAUUGUUCUGCAAAUGUUUUUAUGUGACUUCUACAGAUUGCUAAAACUGCUACUGCUUCUUUUCAAGUCCGGAACGAUUUUCUUGCAAGUAUUUUCUGCAAAUUCUCCGGUUUCUUUUUAAUUUAUACUCCAGCUUUUGAAAAAAAUUCUUUCUUCCUUAGACCUUAAAUGUGUUUGAGACGUGCUAAUUACGUGUUCGUUUGUAGAGGGAUAACUAAGCCCGUGUAUGUUUUACAUGAUUCCCUUAUGUGCAAGUCCUAUUUGCUUUUGUAUGCGCAUAGCAUUUUAACCUUGGAACCUAGGGGGUCAACCUAGUCUCGUUCUUAUAGGAAUAGUGAUCCUAAGUGCCCUCUAGGAUCUAUAGAACGGAACGGGUAAUAUCACGCAAUAAGUAUUCGUGACCGAUCCACGCGCUUAAAUAACCUUUACGAGAGGGAAGGGUGGAAUAUGGAGAUGAUGACGAUGUGAUAAUAUCAUAAAACGGCCCCUCUUUGGGAAUAUGUGCGGGAUAUUGUAUCGAAUAAUCCAUAUUAUAUUUACCUAGGAACCCCUUAUCCUUUAACUUUUGUUUAAAUAUUUUCUCUAAAAUUCCCCUUUCACUUGUGCUAUUCUUUUUUCAAAUAUGCCCACUACUUUUAUAUUCCUUAUAUACAUAUUUGCUUAUUUAUUUCUAUGCUUCUUAAAGUCACAUCUAAGAAAGGUCGGGAACCACACUAUUGGAUCUUGAGGGGUGCCAAACACCUUCCCCUCGAGAUAAUUUCAAGUCAUUACCCGAACUCUGGUUUUCAUUCAAAAUCUUCUUAAAAGUGUCCUAAUGCACUAUAAUCAUUAGGUGGCGACUCUUCAAACUCCGUAACCCAAUUCUCAAAAGCGAAUAAGAGUUAUUUUGUCCAUAAUGUUGUAAACCCGAUUUCGCUUCUUUUAGAAGGGGAAAAUGGGGCAUCGACAUCAUGGCGACUGUGCUGGGGUGACUUUAUUUGUUUACUUUAAUCGCAUUCAUUUCUUGUUUUAAUUAUUUCAUCACAAUUACUAACUUGACUCUUCGUGUUUUUCUUUCCUUUUAAUUUCUUCUUUUAUUUCAAUUUUGUUGUAAUUUUCGAGCAUGUAUUGUAAUAUUUUAUCUUAUGAACGUGAAAAUACGUGUAAUUUGUUUCAUUGUUGUAAUUGCAUUUCUCAAUAUCAUAUUCCACUAGUGCCAAAUAAAUCGCAUAGCAACGCUUAUAAUGCGUGGUUGCGCCCUUCCAAUAUUCGUGCCAAAACAACUCUCAUAUCAACGCUUAUAAUGAGUGGUUGUGCUCUUCCAAUUGUCAAAGGCAUACUUGCGGUAAAAUCAGUAGAUCAACGAUGUAGUCGACGGUUCCACGCCUUUCCCUCUUGAGUUAUCCGCUCAAGGGUACCCUGUCUAGCACUUCAAAAGUAGAAACCUUAUUCCAUUAUACUGUUCAUGCAUCAUGGUCAACCCUAGCCGAGUCAGUUAUGUUGUCUGCAUAAUGACCCAUUUAGAUAGCAUAAACCAAAGUCCAUCGGGUUUCCUGAAACCCAAACGGACACCUUCACGUUAUGUGCAUUUACUUGGAGAGCUGAAUGUUUUUUGCUAAUUAUUGAAUUAAAUAGCCGAGCCUGGUGGGGUUAAGGGUCUAACACUUUGUUUUGCAAAAAUGAGGCAUGAGGUCUCCAGAUUCGGUAUGGUAUCCAACAUCCACCCAAGGUUGCUAAGCUGGUGGGAGGAACUUCAUAGUAGUGAUCAAACCCUCGUCCGUAAGCACUUAGGGAAUUUGACCUCGCUUUUGGAAAUCCAACCCAACAACAAAAUCGUUGAGGCUGCCACUUUGUUUUGGGAUGAUCGAUCAGUGUUCCGUUUCGGGGAUUUGGAGAUGACCCCUUUGCUAGAAGAAAUAGGGGGCCUAGCUGGAAUCUCUUGGGAAACGCCGGGUUUACUCAUGCCGGAGAAUCGCAGAAGUAGAGGUUCUCUUAAAAUGAUGGGACUCAAGAAAAAUCCCGCCCUUUCUUGUUUGAAGGACUCUUAUAUAUCAGUCGACUUCCUAUUCAAGAGAUACGGCCACAGUAAGUCAUAUCACACCUACAUGGAUGAAUUCGCCCUCGCCUCUUUGGGGCACAUACAUGGAAGGGUGUGUGUGUUUAUGUUUUGCUUCUUGGUCAUGGUAAUUUUUCCUAUGAAGGAAGCUAGGAUCCACACCAGACUAGCCAUGGUUAAUAACACUUUGAUGGAAGGAAUUGACGGGCAGUCAUUAAGCAUAGUACCUAUGAUCCUCGCGGAAAUCUAUCAAGUCUUGGGGGAGAGUCAACAAGGGGCUCCACAUUUCGAGGGUUGUAACUUACUACUUCAACUAUGGCUUCUGGAACACCUUCAGAAAGGCGAUUACAGACAAGAAAUCAUGCACACAGAUUGGGAUGACCAUAUCGCUUUUUAUCAUCCAAAGCAAAUGAACUUUAUGCCCAACAUGUUCGCUCAUCCAGAGGACGCCAAUGGAUGGGUAGAGUCAUUUGAAAAUCUGAAAGAAGAAAAGAACUUAAUGGAUGUUCGAGUGGUUCCCCACAUGGGAGUUCAUUGUUCGUUCCCAAGAUGCAUCGUUCCUCAUACUCAUUGGCAUGAGGGGAACUCAUCCUUAUGUCCCCCUCCGAGUGAUGAGGCAAGCCGGAAGGAAACAAAUCAUACCCUGGAUAGAAAAAAUAAGUUACUUCAAGGCUGACUUUCAAAAUGAUGAUAGCCCGCAUAGGUGUCAUGCUCAACAUAUGUGGCACUGCAAGCUCGUUCUAGGAAGGGAUUCUAUUGAACCAUACAGGUAUCAUGUCGGGUGUGUGCUGCACUACUUGGUUAGAAGAUGAUCACAUUGGUUUGGGUCGCCCAGGGUUCACUCAUGGUCAUAAAAUUAUUGACGAGAAAGAGGAAGCGCAAAUCAAAUACAAUCAACUACGCAAGAGAAUGAGAGACUGCAAGAAUGAACAUCAAGAAAUACAUGAAGCCCACGAGAAGCUAGUCAACGAGUGGAAAGAUAUGGCUGCCAAUGCCAAUAUUCAUUUGGGAUAUCAGGAGAAGGGUUUGGUAGACUUGGAAGGAAAGUUCUUGCAAAGGAUCGAAGACUGUCAUAAUAUUGAGGGAAGCGCAUGCGGACAUUUGGCUCGAGCCUACCUACUGCAAGGAAUGUUCGAAUUGAUGCAGCUGUACAAGGGAGGCAAGAAAAUAGGAUCUGGGGAAGGUCCUUCUGGGACCAAGUAAUUAGGAGUCUUUUCUUUUGCUAUACUGAUGUAAAAAGGCCAAUGGCCAUUAGUGAUAUUUUAUUUAGUGUCGCUUUGGGAUUCAUUUUAUUUUUAUCAAUAAAAUGAGACAUUUAGCAUUAUAAGUUCUCCAAAUUUUAUUUGUUGCUAGGCUUAUCCCGGGCACGAACGAGGCAGCCAAAUUAGGAAGCGAUUUAUAUUCCCGCACAAUGUGUUUAAAUAUUGCAAUAUUAUUUAUCANNNNNNNNNNNNNNNNNNNNNNNNNNNNNNNNNNNNNNNNNNNNNNNNNNNNNNNNNNNNNNNNNNNNNNNNNNNNNNNNNNNNNNNNNNNNNNNNNNNNNNNNNNNNNNNNNNNNNNNNNNNNNNNNNNNNNNNNNNNNNNNNNNNNNNNNNNNNNNNNNNNNNNNNNNNNNNNNNNNNNNNNNNNNNNNNNNNNNNNNNNNNNNNNNNNNNNNNNNNNNNNNNNNNNNNNNNNNNNNNNNNNNNNNNNNNNNNNNNNNNNNNNNNNNNNNNNNNNNNNNNNNNNNNNNNNNNNNNNNNNNNNNNNNNNNNNNNNNNNNNNNNNNNNNNNNNNNNNNNNNNNNNNNNNNNNNNNNNNNNNNNNNNNNNNNNNNNNNNNNNNNNNNNNNNNNNNNNNNNNNNNNNNNNNNNNNNNNNNNNNNNNACAGGAACAAGAACAAAAUGGAAGAUACCAAUGCUAGAAAGGAAGUCGGAGAGGCUUCAAUCACCAAAGAAACUGCUGCUCAUCUUGAGCAAACCUUGCUAAGGUUUCGAGAAGAGUUGGAACAAGUCCAGAACUUGGCAAGUCUGUCAAUCACUCAUGUUGUUGCUGAUGCCAACAAAUCACCACCGCCGCCACCAACCCAGCCUACUCAGACCCAAGUCCGCAACACAGGCAACAAUGCUCCAUUGCUUAUCCUAGAGCCCCAAAAUACCACAGAUAACCAGGAUACUCCUGCCUUUGUGGAUACUGUACCACAUUACGGUCAGCCAAUCACCAAUGUGGCCGAGUCGGAUGACAAAGUUUCUCUCAUUCAAAGUUUGUCCGCUGAGAUUAAGAAGUUUACAAACCAGGUUCAAGGUUUCGAAGGUAACUAGGGUGUUGAAAGGUUGAAUCACGAAGAUCUCUGUGUUAAACCAGAUGUUGAGCACCCGGAGGGUUACAAACCUCCCAAGUUUGAAUUGUUCGACGAUACUGGGGAUCCCAGGGUUCACUUGAGGAUAUAUUGUGACAAGCUAGUAGGAGUCUGUAGGGAUGAGAAGAUCCGUAUGAAGUUAUUCAUGAGGAGUUUGAAGGGUGAUGCCAUAUCCUGGUAUAUUAGCCAAGAUGCGAAGAAAUGGACUAGUUGGGUAAGCAUGGCGUCUGAUUUCAUGGAUUGAUUCAGGUUCAACACUGAGAACGCACCAGACGUGUUCUAUUUUCAGAAUCUUAAGAAGAAGCCCACAUAGACCUUUUGCGAGUAUGCUACUCGUUGGAGGUCGGAAGUUGCUAAGGUCAGACCGGCCUUGGAAGAAAAACAAAUGAACAGAUUCUUUGACCAUGCUCAAGAUCCACAGUACUACGAAAGACUGAUGCUAAUUUAGGGUCAAAAGCUCUCCGAUAUAAUCAAAUUAGGAGAAAGGAUUGAAGAAAGCAUCAAGAGCGGUAUGGUCACUAACCUCGAGGCAUUACAAGCCACCAACAAGGCUCUUCAGUCUGGUGGCUCGACGAAGAAGAAGGAUAUAAAUUCCGUAGUGGUUGCGCAAAGAAACAACUCUCCCAUGAAGUACCAAACCUAUCCCUCUUCGAUUAUUCUGUUGUUUUAGUCAUACCGUCAAACACCUUAAGCGCAACAUUUUCGGCUGAGAUGGAAACUCAAUAUGGUUAGUGAUAAAAGCGCUCAAACAAUACAGACCAGAUGCAUACACAGAAUCUACUCAGAAGAAAUUUUUAAAAGAAGAAAAAAUUAGACACUUGUAAUUGUAGACCAAAAAAUUCACUUAUACAUUGUAUUAAGAAAAUAAAGCACAAAUACAAAAAUAACUUUAUAGGCAAAUAAAGAUUCUAAAUCAUAGUCUAAAAUAGAAUCAAUGAUUUAAAUUCUCACCAAGAAAGACUAGAGGAAAAUGUAGCAAUACUCAGAAAUAUUCCCUUCAUUCUGUCCUAAGGCUUUUGGAUUUUAUCUGGCUGAUUAGGAUGCAUGUGUGUUUUGGAGCGUGUAUUUUACAGAUGCAUGUACACAGAAAAUCGAGAGGAUAAUUUAUCAAUACAAAGGAACAAAAUAGAAUACCAGAAAAAAGAUUGAUAAAAAAAUGAGAAAGGAAAAACAAAAAAAAAUACCAAACACAAAAAAACUCACCAGAAUACUAUUAACUCUAAUGGACAAGAUAGAUAAAGAAAUAAGUAGGAGAAAAUUAAAGUCUUCUAGAAUUAGAGGUGCCCGAUCAGUUAAAUCUGAAAAGAAAUAUACAAAUUUGAAAACAGGAGCAUGAUUACAAAAAUCCAAUCACCAAAAGCAACAAUGCAUGAAAGAAAAAUCCAAUCAAUUAGGAAAAAGGGGGCCCAAAGUCAACGGAAAAAUUAAAACCAAAACUCACCUGCAACAGAUAAAUCUAGUCGAGCAUGAAAAGUGAAGAAAGAGAAAUGGAACAAAAUGGAGAAAUUAAGAAGGCAUGAAUAGAUAGAAAGAGCUAAACAACAGUCUAGAAGAUCGGCGGCAUUAUCUAGGAGCAAAGUGAUGGUCUUUCUCUGAAAGAGGGAGAAGAGA
rnacentral:lncRNA from 1 species